GAUGAAGAACGUAGCGAAGUGCGAUAAGUAGUGUGAAUUGCAGAAUUCCGUGAAUCAUCGAAUUUUUGAACGCAAAUUGCACUCUCUGGUAUUCCGGAGAGUAUGCCUAUUUGAGGGUCGAUUAUAUAAAAAUCGGUGUGUUGCUUAUGCAAACAUGUCGGAAUUGGGUUGUCUUAAUCUUUUUAAGGUUAAGUGACUUAAAAUUUUAUGUUAAUUCGGUAUGAUUAUGUACUUAAUUUUUGUCGUUUGACUGCCGAACUUUAUUAGAUUUGUAACCAUUUAUGGUCUUACAUCUAUAAUUUUUUUGAUUUUGACCUCAAAUUAGGUAAGAACACCCGCUGAACUUAAGCAUAUCAAUAAGCGGAGGA
rnacentral:misc_RNA from 1 species